AAUCACAUGUACAUAUAGGGUCUGCCCUAUGUGCCGCACGUGUGCUUCGCGGAUCAGAAGGUGCACACCUCCUCCGUGGAAUCCUGCUUCACAUUCGUCCAGGUCAAGGAGUGCUGCUGUGCUGAGAUCUGGAUCAAGAAGUGGCGACACAUUUCCGGCAGUUCUCGUGGCCAGCACGUGCCAAAUGUGUUGGUGCUGCUGAUAUUAAACCUGCUUUCCGCAUUCAGUAUACUCAGCUGCCGACGAAGGAGGCGAAUAUUUUGCCAAAGCUAAGAAAUGGAAGUCACCAUGUGAGAAACCUUGUUGUACAGCAUGAAGUCAGUCAUAGGGAAGUAGGAUCUAGUCGUAGUAGCAUUCAAAUAAGUGUACUUAGUUCAACAAAUGUCCAGUGGUAAUCAAACUUACUUGCUAAGCAUAUAUUUAAGCGUUAAUAAAUACACGUUUAUAAUGCUAA